rnacentral:misc_RNA from 1 species
AAGUCGUAACAAGGUCUCCGUAGGUGAACCUGCGGAGGGAUCAUUACCGAGAGAGGGCCCCGCGCCCGACCUCCAACCCUUUGGUGAAAAUGUCCGCGUUGCCUCGGCGGGCCGGGUUUACGCCCGCCCGCCGAACGGCCACCCAAACCCUGUCUAAGUUCGUCUAAGUGAAUAUUGAAAUAAAGCAAAACUUUCAACAACGGAUCUCUUGGCUCUA